rnacentral:tRNA from 2 species
ACUUCUCUGGCAGAAAAUAUGCAAUAAAUUUAGAAUUUAUAGAUACAAUGAACGUGGGAAGUA